rnacentral:rRNA from 1 species
AGUGAACGCUGGCGGCAGGCCUAACACAUGCAAGUCGAGCGGCAGCGGGUCCCCGCGAGGGGAUGCCGGCGAGCGGCGGACGGGUGAGGAACACAUCGGAAUCUGCCUGGUUGUGGGGGAUAACGUAGGGAAACUUACGCUAAUACCGCAUGCGACCCUGAGUCGACGGACUUGGGGUGAAAGUGAGGGACCUUCGGGCCUCACGCGACCAGAUGAGCCGAUGUCGGAUUAGCUAGUUGGCGGGGUAACGGGCCCGCCAACGGCGACGAUCCGUAGCUGGUCUGAGAGGAUGAUCAGCCACACUGGGACUGAGACACGGCCCAGACUCCUACGGGAGGCAGCAGUGGGGAAUCUUGGACAAUGGGCGCAAGCCUGAUCCAGCCAUGCC